rnacentral:rRNA from 1 species
CCUACGGGUGGCAGCAGUCGAGAAUCAUUCACAAUGGGGGAAACCCUGAUGGUGCGACGCCGCGUGGGGGAAUGAAGGUCUUCGGAUUGUAAACCCCUGUCAUGUGGGAGCAAAUUAAAAAGAUAGUACCACAAGAGGAAGAGACGGCUAACUCUGUGCCAGAAGCCGCGGUAAUACAGAGGUCUCAAGCGUUGUUCGGAAUCACUGGGCGUAAGGCGUGCGUAGGCUGUUUCGUAAGUCGUGUGUGAAAGGCGCGGGCUCAACCCGCGGAAGGCACAUGAUACUGCGAGACUAGAGUAAUGGAGGGGGAACCGGAAUUCUCGGUGUAGGAGUGAAAUGCGUAGAUAUCGAGAGGAACACUAGUGGCGAAGGCGGGUUCCUGGACAUUAACUGACGCUGAGGCACGAAGGCCAGGGGAGCGAAAGGGAUUAGAUACCCCAGUAGUC